CCAGACUCCUACGGGAGGCAGCAGUGGGGAAUAUUGCACAAUGGGGGGAACCCUGAUGCAGCGACGUCGCGUGGGUGAAGGAGUAUUUCGGUAUGUAAAGCCCUAUCAGCAGGGAAGAACAAUGACGGUACCUGACUAAGAAGCACCGGCUAAAUACGUGCCAGCAGCCGCGGUAAUACGUAUGGUGCAAGCGUUAUCCGGAUUUACUGGGUGUAAAGGGGGCGCAGACGGCGAUGCAAGCCAGGAGUGAAAGCCCGGGGCCCAACCCCGGGACUGCUCUUGGAACUGCGUGGCUGGAGUGCGGGAGGGGCAGGCGGAAUUCCUGGUGUAGCGGUGAAAUGCGUAGAUAUCAGGAGGAACACCGGCGGCGAAGGCGGCCUGCUGGACCGUGACUGACGUUGAGGCUCGAGAGCGUGGGGAGCAAACAGGAUUAGAUACCCGAGUA
rnacentral:rRNA from 1 species